rnacentral:rRNA from 1 species
ACAGCAGCCGCCGCGGGAAUACGUAGGUGGCAAGCGUUGUCCGGAAUUAUUGGGCGUAAAGGGCUCGCAGGCGGUUUCUUAAGUCUGAUGUGAAAGCCCCCGGCUCAACCGGGGAGGGUCAUUGGAAACUGGGAAACUUGAGUGCAGAAGAGGAGAGUGGAAUUCCACGUGUAGCGGUGAAAUGCGUAGAGAUCGGAAAGAACACCAACGGCGAAAGCACUCUGCUGGGCCGACACUGACACUGAGAGACGAAAGCGUGGGGAGCAAACAGGACUAGAUACCCCAGUAGUCCCUGUCUCUUAUAA